AAGUGGCUUUUGUAAGGGACUGCUCGAAAACCUAAGGCUUAAAGCCCGUAGUUUAUUUGCGUGCAAGCCUUCGAGUAAAGGUAAAGCAACAUGUCAGGAAGAAACCGUGGACCUCGCCAUAUGGUGGAGGAUGGCAGGCGAGGCUAUCGGCCUGGGCCGCCUGGUAUACACGAAGGCCCAUUCAUUCGUGGACCUGGACCUGUUCCGCGCCCCAUUAUAUUGGAGGAGGAGCUUGAGAUUCAACAUGAGGAGAUUCGACGGCUUGUAGGUGAUAAUCGGAGGCUCGCCGAAGAUCGAAUGGUCCUCCAACAAGAGCUCGGCCUUGCAAAGGAGGAAUUGCAUCGCUUGAAUAUGGUUAUAUCUGAUAUUCGUGCUGAAAAAGAUGCGCAGGUGAGGGACAUGAUUGAGAAGGGAUUAAAGCUCGAGGCUGAGUUGAGGGCUCUUGAGCCUAUGAAAGCAGAAGCCACGCAAUUGCGGUCGGAUGCUGUGAAACUGAAUGCAAUGAGGCAGGAAUUGACAGCUCAAAUUCAGGCGAUGACCCAGGAUUUGGCGAGGGCACAGGCUGACAACCAGCAGAUUCCUAUGCUGAGGUCGGAGAUUGAUGGUUUGCGCCAAGAACUUGUCAGGGCCAGGACGGCUUUUGAGUACGAGAAGAAAGCAAAUGCUGAGCAGAUGGAGCAGAGGCAAGCAAUGGAGAAAAACCUGAUUUCUAUGGCUCGUGAAGUUGAGAAGCUGAGGGCAGAGCUCGUUGGUUUGGAACAAAGAGGUGGACACUAUGGACUAAAACUUGGAAGUCCUGAAAUCGGGGUUGGUGGUCCCUAUGGGGAUGGAUAUGGACACCACAUGGGGGGUGGUGAAAAGGGUCCUAUGUAUGGAGUUGGAUCUGGUGCUUGGGGAUCAUAUGACAAAUCUCGUAUCUCACGUCGUUAGAUUUUCAACGGAGUUAUGAUCAGAAGUGGAAAGAAGCAUGAACUGUGAUACUUGAACUGCUUGGCUCUUCAAUGUUCAAGGGUGAUUGUCCUCCAAUGUGGGACUUCUUUUUCAUGAAGAAUACAAGAGAACCAUGAAAAAUAAGCUCUUUAGGGAAUUGGUUGAAAACAGGACAUGAUCAUUGAGGGUUCAUGGUCAGGAUUCUUGUAAACCCUGGUUUUACUUGGUUUCUUGUUGUUUUUGGUGUCUGGGCCUGUUUUCGUGGCUUUUGGUGUCUGGUCUUGGAGAUUCAGGACCAAUCCUUGUGUGCGAAUUUUGGUGGAUUCACCAACUUUUGGGAUUUUUCUUCGUUUAGAUAGAGUUCAUAGUUCUCAUUAAGAAUGGAUUGGAUUGUGAGUGAUGAUUCUUGGAGUGAGUGUAUAUCUCUUUUAGAUUUUGAUGGGUUUGUGGAGUUUAGGGUUAUCUCGGCGUAAUUGCUACCGGGAUUCACUGAUGAUUGGGGGUGAAAAGUGGGUUUUGUUUGAGAGAGAGAGCAUUCAUAUUUGCAGAGGUUCCUAAUUUUCUGUGUGUUUUAAAGGGGUCUACCGAGGGAUUUUGCUUUUUCGCAAAACUUCUAGCUUUCAUUGCGAUCUGUACAAUGUUCUACGGAAGCCAUAUACUUUUUUAUGGGCGUUUUGAAAUUAAAUGAAAAUGUGCUUUUUUAUGGGUGCUUUGAGAUUA